AUUGAACGCUGGCGGCAGGCCUAACACAUGCAAGUCGAGCGGUAGCACAGAGAGCUUGCUCUCGGGUGACGAGCGGCGGACGGGUGAGUAAUGUCUGGGAAACUGCCUGAUGGAGGGGGAUAACUACUGGAAACGGUAGCUAAUACCGCAUAACGUCGCAAGACCAAAGUGGGGGACCUUCGGGCCUCAUGCCAUCAGAUGUGCCCAGAUGGGAUUAGCUUGUAGGUGGGGUAACGGCUCACCUAGGCGACGAUCCCUAGCUGGUCUGAGAGGAUGACCAGCCACACUGGAACUGAGACACGGUCCAGACUCCUACGGGAGGCAGCAGUGGGGAAUAUUGCACAAUGGGCGCAAGCCUGAUGCAGCCAUGCCGCGUGUAUGAAGAAGGCCUUCGGGUUGUAAAGUACUUUCAGCGAGGAGGAAGGCGAUAAGGUUAAUAACCUUGUCGAUUGACGUUACUCGCAGAAGAAGCACCGGCUAACUCCGUGCCAGCAGCCGCGGUAAUACGGAGGGUGCAAGCGUUAAUCGGAAUUACUGGGCGUAAAGCGCACGCAGGCGGUCUGUCAAGUCGGAUGUGAAAUCCCCGGGCUCAACCUGGGAACUGCAUCCGAAACUGGCAGGCUAGAGUCUUGUAGAGGGGGGUAGAAUUCCAGGUGUAGCGGUAAAAUGCGUAGAGAUCUGGAGGAAUACCGGUGGCGAAGGCGGCCCCCUGG
rnacentral:rRNA from 1 species